GAUGAACGCUGGCGGCGUGCCUAAUACAUGCAAGUCGAGCGAACAGACGAGGAGCUUGCUCCUCUGACGUUAGCGGCGGACGGGUGAGUAACACGUGGAUAACCUACCUAUAAGACUGGGAUAACUUCGGGAAACCGGAGCUAAUACCGGAUAAUAUAUUGAACCGCAUGGUUCAAUAGUGAAAGACGGUUUUGCUGUCACUUAUAGAUGGAUCCGCGCCGCAUUAGCUAGUUGGUAAGGUAACGGCUUACCAAGGCGACGAUGCGUAGCCGACCUGAGAGGGUGAUCGGCCACACUGGAACUGAGACACGGUCCAGACUCCUACGGGAGGCAGCAGUAGGGAAUCUGCCGCAAUGGGCGAAAGCCUGACGGAGCAACGCCGCGUGAGUGAUGAAGGUCUUCGGAUCGUAAAACUCUGUUAUUAGGGAAGAACAAAUGUGUAAGUAACUAUGCACGUCUGGACGGUACCUAAUCAGAAAGCCACGGCGAACUACGU
rnacentral:rRNA from 1 species